rnacentral:rRNA from 1 species
GACGAACGCUGGCGGCGUGCUUAACACAUGCAAGUCGAACGAAGUGGCGAACGGGUGAGUAACGCGUAAUCCACCUGCCCUUCAGAGGGGGACAACAGUUGGAAACGACUGCUAAUACCGCACACUGCAAGAGGGGAUUUCGUCUGAUUAGCUAGUGGGAGGGGUAACGGCCCACCAGGUCGAUGAUCAGUAGCCGGUUUGAAAGGAGGAACGGCCACAUUGGGACUGAGACAAGGCCUAGUAUCCUACGGGAGGCAGCAGUGGGGAAUUGUGCUCAAUGGAGGAAAGGCUGAAUGGGCAACGCCGCGUGAGUGAUGACGGCCUUCGGGUUGUAAAGCUCUGUUAAGCGGGACGCGGUACCGGAAUAGAAAGCCACGGCUAACUACGUGCCAGCAGCCGCGGUAAUAC